CCAACGGCCCUCUUUAGGGCCACAAAUUAUCAUUAAAACUUCUG
rfam:Steinernema glaseri strain NC unplaced genomic scaffold GLAS_6237, whole genome shotgun sequence.